UACGUAGGUGGCAAGCGUUGUCCGGAUUUACUGGGCGUAAAGAGCGCGCAGGCGGCCGGAUAAGUCGAAUGUGAAAGCCCCCGGCUCAACUGGGGAGGGUCAUUCGAUACUGUUCGACUCGAAGGCAGGAGAGGGAAGUGGAAUUCCCGGUGUAGUGGUGAAAUGCGUAGAUAUCGGGAGGAACACCAGUGGCGAAGGCGACUUCCUGGCCUGUUCUUGACGCUGAGGCGCGAAAGCUAGGGGAGCAAGCGGG
rnacentral:rRNA from 1 species